ACCAGUGUGGUGUAGUGGUUUGAGCAUUAGACUAGGUCUCUGGGGGACCAGGGUUCAAAUCCCAGCUCAGCCA